AUUGAACGCUGGCGGCAGGCCUAACACAUGCAAGUCGAGCGAGCGGCGGACGGGUGAGUAAUGUCUGGGGACUGCCCGAUAGAGGGGGAUAACUACUGGAAACGGUGGCUACUACCGCAUACUAUCGGAUAACCCAUAUGGGAUUAGCUAGUUGGUGGGGUAAAGGCUCAACUAGGCGACGAUCUCUAGCUGGUCUGAGAGUAUGAUCAGACACGCUGUGACUGAUACAUGGCCCAGACUCCGACGGAGGCAGAAGGGGGGAAGAUUGCACGAUGGGCGCAAGCCUGAUGCAGCCGUGCCGCGUGUAUUAAGAAGGCCUUAGGGUUGUAAAGUACUUUCAGCGGGGAGGCGUUACGCGCAGAAGAAGCGCCGGCUAACUCCGUGCCAGCAGCCGCGGUAAUGC
rnacentral:rRNA from 1 species